rnacentral:rRNA from 1 species
GAUGAACGCUGGCGGUGUGCCUAAUACAUGCAAGUCGAGCGAACAGACGAGGAGCUUACUCCUCUGACGUUAGCGGCGGACGGGUGAGUAACACGUGGAUAACCUACCUAUAAGACUGGGAUAACUUCGGGAAACCUGAGCUAAUACCGGAUAACAUGUUGAACCGCAUGGUUCAACAGUGAAAGACGGUCUUGCUGUCACUUAUAGAUGGAUCCGCGUCGCAUUAGCUAGUUGGUAAGGUAACGGCUUACCAAGGCAACGAUGCGUAGCCGACCUGAGAGGGUGAUCGGCCACACUGGAACUGAGACACGGUCCAGACUCCUACGGGAGGCAGCAGUAGGGAAUCUUCCGCAAUGGGCGAAAGCCUGACGGAGCAACGCCGCGUGAGUGAAGAAGGUCUUCGGAUCGUAAAACUCUGUUAUUAGGGAAGAACAAAUGUGUAAGUAACUAUGCACGUCUUGACGGUACCUAAUCAGAAAGCCACGGCUAACUACGUG